rnacentral:sRNA from 1 species
AUGAAGUCCCUGUCUCUGCUCCUCGCUGUGGCUUUGGGCCUGGCGACCGCCGUCUCGGCAGGACCCGCGGUGAUCGAGUGUUGGUUCGUGGAGGAUGCGAGCGGAAAGGGCCUGGCCAAGAGACCCGGUGCACUGCUGUUGCGCCAGGGACCGGGGGAACCGCCGCCCCGGCCGGACCUCGACCCUGAGCUCUACCUCAGUGUACACGACCCCGCGGGCGCCCUCCAGGCUGCCUUCAGGCGGUAUCCCCGGGGCGCCCCCGCACCACACUGCGAGAUGAGCCGCUUCGUGCCUCUCCCCGCCUCUGCGAAAUGGGCCAGCGGCCUGACCCCGGCGCAGAACUGCCCGCGGGCCCUGGAUGGGGCUUGGCUGAUGGUCAGCAUAUCCAGCCCAGUCCUCAGCCUCUCCAGCCUCUUGCGACCACAGCCAGAACCUCAGCAGGAGCCUGUUCUCAUCACCAUGGCAACAGUGGUACUGACUGUCCUCACCCACACCCCUGCCCCUCGAGUGAGACUGGGACAAGAUGCUCUGCUGGACUUGAGCUUUGCCUACAUGCCCCCCACCUCCGAGGCCGCCUCAUCUCUGGCUCCGGGUCCCCCUCCCUUUGGGCUAGAGUGGCGACGCCAGCACCUGGGUAAGGGACAUCUGCUCCUGGCUGCAACUCCUGGGCUGAAUGGCCAGAUGCCAGCAGCCCAAGAAGGGGCCGUGGCAUUUGCUGCUUGGGAUGAUGAUGAGCCAUGGGGCCCAUGGACCGGAAAUGGGACCUUCUGGCUGCCUAGAGUUCAACCCUUUCAGGAGGGCACCUAUCUGGCCACCAUACACCUGCCAUACCUGCAAGGACAGGUCACCCUGGAGCUUGCUGUGUACAAACCCCCCAAAGUGUCCCUGAUGCCAGCAACCCUUGCACGGGCCGCCCCAGGGGAGGCACCCCCGGAAUUGCUCUGCCUUGUGUCCCACUUCUACCCUUCUGGGGGCCUGGAGGUGGAGUGGGAACUCCGGGGUGGCCCAGGGGGCCGCUCUCAGAAGGCCGAGGGGCAGAGGUGGCUCUCGGCCCUGCGCCACCAUUCCGAUGGCUCUGUCAGCCUCUCUGGGCACUUGCAGCCGCCCCCAGUCACCACUGAGCAGCAUGGGGCACGCUAUGCCUGUCGAAUUCACCAUCCCAGCCUGCCUGCCUCGGGGCGCAGCGCUGAGGUCACCCUGGAGGUAGCAGGUAAGAGCUGGGAGCUCUGCGGAAUCUGA